GUAUCUCUCCUCCCCUCUCAGCCCAGUGUUCAGCUUGCUGUUGACAUUGCUGCCUGCUUAAUUUGUUCUCAUGACUUCCUUUCUCUUAACAAAUGUUUCUUGUCUCAUCUCUACCUCUUUCUUAAUAAUGCUUAAUAAUCUCCCUCCCUCGCCCCUCUCUCUCCCCAUCCCCCUCCCUGUGUUCUCCUGUGGUGUUCAGUCCUUGCUAGCUCCAGUAAAAGUCCAGUAGGUAUGGACGACGCGGCAGUGCCAUAGGGAUAGGCACCAUUGAAGAGUCUCUGAUCAUCCCAGGGAGGAGUCCCACCAGGAAGAAGUCUGGUCCCUUCAGCUCCCGCAGGAGCAGCGCUAUCGGCAUCGAGAACAUCCAGGAGGUCCAAGAGAGGAGUCGUGAGGUGUCCCCCAGCGCUCAGAAGACCCCAGAC